UGUCCGAUGGUGUAAUGGUAGCACAGAAGCCUUUGACGCUUUUAGUUGGGGUUCAAAUCCCUGUCGGACAACCA
rnacentral:tRNA from 1 species